UACGGGGGGGGGUGAGCGUUGUUCGGAAUUACUGGGCGUAAAGGGCUCGUAGGUGGCCAACUAAGUCGGACGUGAAAUCCCUCGGCUUAACCGGGGAACUGCGUCUGAUACUGGAUGGCUUGAGUUCGGGAGAGGGAUGCGGAAUUCCAGGUGUAGCGGUGAAAUGCGUAGAUAUCUGGAGGAACACCGGUGGCGAAGGCGGCAUCCUGGACCGACACUGACGCUGAGGAGCGAAAGCCAGGGGAGCAAACGGG
rnacentral:rRNA from 1 species